UAAUAUUAAUAUUACCACUACCAUUACAUUAUUACUAUUUUAAAAUUCUAGGUCGAAUUUGCAUUGUGCUUCCCCCUCCCCCCCUUCUCUCUCUACGCCCCCUCUCUUUAUGUACCUGCUGAGUAGAGGCUGAGUAAUAAGAGGAAAUAUCAUAAAAUACAUGUUUACCAGAAAAAAUGUGAGGAAACCUGCUGAGACAGAGUUGCUUAAUAAACGCUUGAGGCCGUAUAACUUCCAGCCAUUGUACUAGUCCACAACUGUAGGACUUAUCCAGCCCAAACCUAGACACAGCACACAGACGGGAAUGUAAACACUGCUCAAGAAACACAGAGUGUUGUCUUUGCUUUUAAACCAGCUCACCAAGAGGAGAGACAAGGCUGAAAAUAGCUAAGCUGAAUAAUUUUGAAAGUCGUUAUAGUGCAUUGACUAUAUAAUAACAGAUUUUCUUGUAUUUUCACCCUGUGUGAGAUGUCAUGUCUGUUUAAACAUAAGCCAGCACAGCAGAAGGUCAUUAUGAUAGUCUCAUGCAGAAACAGUAGCAGGAGGUAUGAUGACAUUGUGAUAUCUUAUAGCCACACAACAACAGGUCUUUUUCACAUUUUGACUUUUCAUUUUAGGAAAAGCACAUGUGUUUCUAAUAACAUUAACAAUGGCUCUGUUCUAUUCAGUGUCCCAGUAAGUCAUAUUAUUAUUUACACCUGUGCUUUUUCUACUGUGUCAUGUCAAAAUGUCUUUCAUGAAAAAAUCUCACUUAACUCUGACUUUCUGACUUGUGUAUUAUUUAUGACAUCACAGGGGUUUGGUGGUGCAGGCUAAGGAGUGCUUAAUUUUCCAAAUCCCACACAAUGCACACUUUGUUUUUCUGUUACAAGGUAUUUGGCCAGAGACCAAUGGACAAAGUCAAAUGUUGAGCUGCUAGUGGCGCUGGAGGAAAGGUCGGGGGAUGACCAGAUGACAGUAGGCUUCACCCUCUGGGGAACAUGAAUGUCUGUAAAAUUUCAUGGAAAUCCAUUCAGCAGUUGUUCAGAUAUUUUGGUGGUCUGGACCAAAGUGGUGGACUGACCGACAUUGCCAUCUCUAGAGCCACGUCGCUAACAUGGGUAAAAAUUCUCUGUGGUAAAACAUAGCAACAGGUGUAUUGAACUGACUUAAUCAGAAAGACAAGAAGGUAAAGUGAAGGUGUCUAAAUAUCUCGACACUAUCUCAAGCCAAUCUAAAUAGAAACAUGUACCACACAGGGUAGGGAUAAUAAUAGUGUGAGGUGCAUUACAUUAUGACCCUUAGUUCCAGCACCAACAGCACAAAUAUCUAAACAUUAACAUUGACCAGCUACAUCCCUUCAUAGUAUCAGACUACCUCUUGUAUAGUUCAGCAGGAGAUGUUGUGAAACAUGCAUAGACAAUUCCAGGAAUAUGACGGUAUCUUCAGUUUACUCAGAGGGCAUGCACUGUCCCUAAAGAGCAUUUCUGGGUUAAGGAGGAACAGCAUGACUAGCUAUCCCAAAAUCAGCAUGAAAUGAAUGAUUCACGUGGAGCAAGAUUCUUUUGAAAUGUUCACAACACUUUGUUGAAUUUAUGCCUCAAACAAUUCAAGUUGUUCUGAAAGCUAAACUCAGAUCUCUGGUAGUAGGUAGAUGUGCCUAAUGAAACAACCUUUAAGUGUGUUCACCAUUUGAAGGGCAGGUGACAGCUGACUGAGAUGCUGAAAAAUGUCCUAUUCCUCUGUAAUUUCCUCUUAAUUAGCUAUUUUCUAAUAAAUGUAAAAAUGAAUGUUGAAAUGCUGAAAACAAUAUACAAAAGGACAAAAGAUCUGUAAAAGAAAACUUGAUAAUGUCGAUGUCAGAUACUAUUUUCUAUAUAAAGAAUUUGCCUGCAAUUAUCAGAGAGCUCUGUCUGUAGUCAUGGUAACAGAUGCAACAUGCACAAAAAAUUAUGCUGAUCAAAAGAAACUUCAAUAAAAUGAUUUUGCCUGAUACA